rnacentral:tRNA from 1 species
GGCGCUGUCGCGUAGCUUACAACAUAGCCUACAAAAACCCGCAAAGUAUUGAUAAAUCAAGGUUUUUCUUUCCCCUGCUAAGGGAGUAGGCGUGUAAAAAGCGCGCGAGGGUUCAAAUCCCUCCUUCUGCGCCA